UACGGAGGGUGCAAGCGUUGUCCGGAUUUAUUGGGUGUAAAGGGUGUGCAGGCGGGACGGUAAGUCAGAGGUGAAAGCCCGCAGCUUAACUGUGGAAUUGCCUUUGAUACUGCCGACCUUGAGUCCCGGAGAGGUGGCUGGAAUUCGUGGUGUAGCGGUGAAAUGCGUAGAUAUCACGAGGAACACCAAAGGCGUAGGCAGGUCACUGGACGGGUACUGACGCUGAGGCACGAAAGCGUGGGGAGCAAACAGG
rnacentral:rRNA from 1 species